rnacentral:rRNA from 1 species
GAUGAACGCUGGCGGCGUGCUUAACACAUGCAAGUCGAACGGAAAGGCUCCUGCUUUCAGGGGUACUCGAGUGGCGAACGGGUGAGUAACACGUGGGUGAUCUGCCCUGCACUUCGGGAUAAGCCUGGGAAACUGGGUCUAAUACCGGAUAGGACGAUGUUUUGGAUGCCAUUGUGGAAAGUGUUUCGGUGUGGGAUGAGCUCGCGGCCUAUCAGCUUGUUGGUGGGGUAAUGGCGUACCAAGGCGUCGACGGGUAGCCGGCCUGAGAGGGUGUACGGCCACAUUGGGACUGAGAUACGGCCCAGACUCCUACGGGAGGCAGCAGUGGGGAAUAUUGCACAAUGGGCGGAAGCCUGAUGCAGCGACGCCGCGUGGGGGAUGACGGCCUUCGGGUUGUAAACUCCUUUCGCUAGGGACGAAGCGCAAGUGACGGUAACUGGAGAAGAAGCACCGGCUAACUACGUG